AGCAGUAGCCGCGGUAAUACGAAGGGGGCUAGCGUUGUUCGGAUUUACUGGGCGUAAAGCGCACGUAGGCGGAUCGAUCAGUCAGGGGUGAAAUCCUGGAGCUCAACUCUGGAACUGCCUUUGAUACUGUCGAUCUGGAGUAUGGAAGAGGCGAGUGGAAUUCCGAGUGUAGAGGUGAAAUUCGUAGAUAUUCGGAGGAACACCAGUGGCGAAGGCGGCUCACUGGUCCAUUACUGACGCUGAGGUGCGAAAGCGUGGGGAGCAAACAGGAUUAGAUACCCCCGUAGUCCCUGUCUCUUAUAC
rnacentral:rRNA from 1 species